rnacentral:rRNA from 1 species
CGCGUAGGCGGUUCUUUUAGUCGGCGGUGAAAUUGCUCGGCCCAACUGGGCAACGGCCGCCGAUACUGGAGAACUUGAGUUCGGGAGAGGAGAGUGGAAUUCCUGGUGUAGCGGUGAAAUGCGUAGAGAUCAGGAAGAACACCCGUGGCGAAGGCGGCUCUCUGGACCGAUACUGACGCUGAGGCGCGAAAGCUAGGGGAGCGAACGGGAUUAGAUACCCCGGUAGUCCUAGCCGUAAACGAUGGUCACUAGGUGUUGGGGGUAUCGACCCCCUCAGCGCCGCAGCUAACGCAAUAAGUGACCCGCCUGGGGAGUACGGCCGCAAGGUUGAA